GACAAAGACUACAUUUCAAGGUCUUUAAUGGGUUGUAGUAGGAUGUAUAUCGUAGGACAUAUUAGUUCAGCUAUAACGAAUGAACUACUUUUUUUUUUUUUAAUUUCUGAAAUGUAGUUUAAUUUAUAAAAAGACAGAAAUAUUCAGAUCUGUUGAGUUUUUAGGAAGAAAGGUCUGGUCAGCUAUCUGAAUAUCUGAAUAGUAUUUGAAAAAUUUGGUAUUUGAAAAAUUUCAGUUUAUAUGCUUGGGGUGAGAUGCUAAAGAUACCUAUUACACAUUCAUGCAGGUAUCUUCAUCUUCUCCAGAUCAUUCAUGCUAGUGAAGAAAUCUUCUGUAAAACUUUCCACUCCUUUCUGCUUGUCUAUAGGGAAGUUACUCAGAAAGGCUCUUCCUGGAGGUUGCUGAUUAGACAAAGAUGCGGCUGACCUGAUUCAGUGCUGAUAAAACCUAUGCUUCUGAUAAUGUCAAGGAGGCUAGCUCAUCAGCACUGUGAGUGACAAAAUGUGCAACUUCUUCAAGGUGGUUAUACAUGUACUGUUGUCCUGCAAUGUGAAAGACUUUACAAAAUCUAAAGACUAUAAAAAUACAAUAUGACUUUGUAUGGGACUAAGGAAAAAAAAAAUCAUUUCAACCACUGUGUGUGUUUUAUGCCUGAUGUCAAGAAACUGGAAAGAAAUACAUAGAAUUGCUCAUCUGUAAAAAGUAAUACCCUGAGGAGGACCAGCAAUAAAAGUUCAAUGAAUUCAUUAUGUGAUGCAAGUUAACCUGUUGAUAAAUACAAUUUAUAAAUAAAC
ensembl:lncRNA